rnacentral:rRNA from 1 species
CAGCAGCCGCGGUAAUACCGGCGGCCCGAGUGGCGGUCACUAUUAUUGGGCUUAAAGCGUCCGUAGCCGGGUUGGGAAGUCCUCCGGGAAAUCUGGCCGCUUAACGGUCAGAAUGCCGGAGGAUACUCCCAGCCUAGGGAGCGGGAGAGGCCGAGGGGAUUCCCGGAGGAGGGGUGAAAUCCUAUAAUCCCGGGAGGACCACCUGUGGCGAAGGCGCUCGGCUGGAACGCGUCCGACGGUGAGGGACGAAGGCCAGGGGAGCAAACCGGAUUAGAUACCCGGGUAGUCCUGGCGGUAAACGAUGCGGACUUUGUGUCGGACAAGCUAUGAGCUUGUCCGGUGCCGGAGGGAAACCGUUAAGUCCGCCGCCUGGGGAGUACGGCCGCAAGGCUGAAACUUAAAGGAAUUGGCGGG